UACGGGGGGUGCGAGCGUUGUCCGGAAUCACUGGGCGUAAAGGGCGCGUAGGCGGCGUUUUUAAGUCGGGGGUGAAAGCCUGUGGCUCAACCACAGAAUUGCCUUCGAUACUGGGACGCUUGAGUGUGGUAGAGGUUGGUGGAACUGCGAGUGUAGAGGUGAAAUUCGUAGAUAUUCGCAAGAACACCGGUGGCGAAGGCGGCCAACUGGACCAUCACUGACGCUGAGGCGCGAAAGCGUGGGGAGCAAACAGG
rnacentral:rRNA from 1 species